rnacentral:rRNA from 1 species
AGCGAACGCUGGCGGCAGGCUUAACACAUGCAAGUCGAACGCCCGUAGCAAUACGGGAGUGCAGACGGGUGAGUAACGCGUGGGAACAUGCCCUUUGGUUCGGAAUAACUCAGGGAAACUUGAGCUAAUACCGGAUAAGCCCGAGAGGGGAAAGAUUUAUCGCCGAAGGAUUGGCCCGCGUCCGAUUAGCUAGUUGGUGAGGUAAUGGCUCACCAAGGCGACGAUCGGUAGCUGGUCUGAGAGGAUGAUCAGCCACACUGGGACUGAGACACGGCCCAGACUCCUACGGGAGGCAGCAGUGGGGAAUAUUGGACAAUGGGGCAACCCUGAUCCAGCCAUGCCGCGUGAGUGAUGAAGGCCCUAGGGUUGUAAAGCUCUUUCGGCGGGGACGAUAAUGACGGUACCCGCAGAAGAAGCCCCGGCUAACUUCGUGCCAGCAGCAGCCGCCGUAA